CCGUUCACAAGCAGGUACAAAGCCUUCAUUAGAUCUCUUAUCUAAUAGUUAUUGGGCCCAAACCCAUCUUUACCCUGAAGCAACUCUUUGCUAAUAGAGUGGUUGCAUGUUCUCGAUGCAACUGAACUAUUGUGAUUGAUCGAGAACAAUCAACGUCGGUAGCAUACCCACACAUCUACAAUGAUGGAAGACCAUUAGACUUAAUAUUUAUAGAGAGGUUUGGAUUUAGGUCUCAUCUAAUUAGUCAUCAUAUGACUGAUCU
rnacentral:lncRNA from 1 species